UAAAAGGGCUUCUGCCUGAGUGGCAUAUGUAGGGCAACCUGAUUGCUCUGUGUGCAGAAGUGACAUCAACAAAUUUCAGAAGCGUCAUUUUUUGGUAUAUGGGCAGCUGGUGAUGGGGGAAAAUACUUUCUACAUCUUACCCUAUCACACCA
rnacentral:snRNA from 1 species